rnacentral:rRNA from 1 species
GACGAACGCUGGCGGCGUGCUUAACACAUGCAAGUCGAACGGAAAGGCCCUGCUUUUGUGGGGUGCUCGAGUGGCGAACGGGUGAGUAACACGUGAGUAACCUGCCCUUGACUUUGGGAUAACUUCAGGAAACUGGGGCUAAUACCGGAUAGGAGCUCCUGCUGCAUGGUGGGGGUUGGAAAGUUUCGGCGGUUGGGGAUGGACUCGCGGCUUAUCAGCUUGUUGGUGGGGUAGUGGCUUACCAAGGCUUUGACGGGUAGCCGGCCUGAGAGGGUGACCGGCCACAUGGGGACUGGGAUCCGGCCCAGACUCCUCCGGGAGGCAGCAGUGGGGAAUAUUGCACAAUGGGGGGAAGCCUGAUGCAGCAACGCCGCGGGGGGGAGGAGGGCCUUCGGGUUGUAAACCGCUUUCGCCUGUGAAGAAGCGGGAGUGACGGUAAUGGGUAAAGAAGCACCGGCUAACUACGU